CGCACAUCAAACGCUGGCGCUGACCCCGGCGCCUACCGGUCCCUGCACGUGCAGCGCGGCCGCGCGCUCCCGGGUCCGCAGCCCCCACCGCCGACAGGGCCCCGCAGGGCGCAGCGGGGCUGGGAAGGGGAAGUCGGCCAGGCCUGCGCGGCUUCCCAGGCUGUCCCGGCGCAGAGGCGGCCCCGGGCCUCCUUGGAAAGGAACCGUCCCCGUGUAUCCCGGCGGGGUGAGCACAAGGCGGGUGCUGUCCGACUUUCAACAGUCGCAGCGAGAAUGUCCUAGGAAACUAAACAACUUUUUAAACUGUCUUUCCAAAGAAUCAGGAUGCUGAGAAGUCAACCAGCUCCUGGAGGACUGACCGGAAGGGCACCUGGCCUCGGCCCGGGCGGCUCCCCAUUCGUUCCUCACUGCGCCCCUCAUCCCCACUCCCCCGGCCCUGCAGGGUGCCCCGUGGUGCUGACCAUGGCAUUGCCUGGACCCAUCAACUGGUAAAACACACGAGCCUUAGCAGAGAUACGAUUUCAUUCCUCACCAGAGGCCCUUGAGAUUUUAGGAUUCUAUCAACGCUAGUAAAGGAACUACUUGAACACGUUGCUUUGUACUGCUUUCCCUGACUGUAAAACAUUAAAGGCCCAGCACCCAUAAUUAUGACCUGGAUAUGAG
rnacentral:lncRNA from 1 species